rnacentral:rRNA from 1 species
GCGAGCGUUAAUCGGAAUUACUGGGCGUAAAGCGUGCGCAGGCGGUUUUGUAAGCCAGAUGUGAAAUCCCCGGGCUCAACCUGGGAAUGGCAUUUGGGACUGCAAGGCUGGAGUACGGCAGAGGAGACUGGAAUUCCUGGUGUAGCAGUGAAAUGCGUAGAUAUCAGGAGGAAUACCGAUGGCGAAGGCAGGUCUCUGGGCUGAUACUGACGCUCAUGCACGAAAGCGUGGGGAGCAAACAGG